rnacentral:rRNA from 1 species
AGUGAACGCUGGCGGUAGGCCUAACACAUGCAAGUCGAACGGCAGCACAGUAAGAGCUUGCUCUUACGGGUGGCGAGUGGCGGACGGGUGAGGAAUACAUCGGAAUCUACUUUUUCGUGGGGGAUAACGUAGGGAAACUUACGCUAAUACCGCAUACGACCUACGGGUGAAAGCAGGGGAUCUUCGGACCUUGCGCGAUUGAAUGAGCCGAUGUCGGUUUAGCUAGUUGGCGGGGUAAAGGCCCACCAAGGCGACGAUCCGUAGCUGGUCUGAGAGGAUGAUCAGCCACACUGGAACUUAGACACGGUCCAGACUCCUACGGGAGGCAGCAGUGGGGAAUAUUGGACAAUGGGCGCAAGCCUGAUCCAGCCAUACCGCGUGGGUGAAGAAGGCCUUCGGGUUGUAAAGCCCUUUUGUUGGGAAAGAAAAGCAGCAGGUUAAUACCCCGCUGUUCUGACGGUACCCAAAGAAUAAGCACCGGCUAACUUCGUG